rnacentral:rRNA from 1 species
AUUGAACGCUGGCGGCAGGCUUAACACAUGCAAGUCGAGCGGGGAAAGGUAGCUUGCUACCUAACCUAGCGGCGGACGGGUGAGUAAUGCUUAGGAAUCUGCCUAUUAGUGGGGGACAACAUCUCGAAAGGGAUGCUAAUACCGCAUACGUCCUACGGGAGAAAGCAGGGGACCUUCGGGCCUUGCGCUAAUAGAUGAGCCUAAGUCGGAUUAGCUAGUUGGUGGGGUAAAGGCCUACCAAGGCGACGAUCUGUAGCGGGUCUGAGAGGAUGAUCCGCCACACUGGGACUGAGACACGGCCCAGACUCCUACGGGAGGCAGCAGUGGGGAAUAUUGGACAAUGGGGGGAACCCUGAUCCAGCCAUGCCGCGUGUGUGAAGAAGGCCUUUUGGUUGUAAAGCACUUUAAGCGAGGAGGAGGCUACCGAGAUUUAUACUCUUGGAUAGUGGACGUUACUCGCAGAAUAAGCACCGGCUAACUCUGUG